CAGAAUAUCUUGGUUUCUCCAUCUAUGUU
rnacentral:piRNA from 1 species